AUUCUGUCAGAGUCCGGGGUUCCACAGUUGAGCAAAGGCUGAGAACCACUGCUCCAGAGAGCAGCUGCAGGCUGACUGCCUGGAAAUGGGCAAAGAGCCACUGAAAGUCAGCACCAUUGAGUGCCCUGUCUUCAGCCAAUGGCCUGGAGCACAAGUGCCCACGAGGUUCACUACAGCUGCACUUUAAGGACCUGAGAUCAUUCUCCCGUUUCUUCUGAGAAGUCUUGUGACAAACCACCCAAGAGACUUAAGAGAUGAAUCCAACCGCGGGAAGCAAUCAACAUUUUUGACCUUUUCUAGGUAUCAGGCCUCGUGCUAAAUGCUUUAUGAGGGUUAUUCCUCUUUCCUCCCUCAGAAACUGGAGGAAGAAGUUUGGGGAAAGAAGCGGAAGAAAUGUGGACGUUAAGUCUAAGAAGUCCUCAACGGAGCACAGAUGAGCCAGAACGAACAUGGUUUCAAAUUCCUCAAUUCGAAGCUGCUAGAUUGGAAAGGUCAAAUUGGAAGCUACGUCUUUAAACGUUUCAACUUGUCUUUAGUAGGGUCAUCAACAACAGAUGCCAUGGAGCAAUGGUGUGCACAUUCUAGAAUUGAGGCUCUCACAUUUUCAUCCGUAAAUAUCACCUGGAAGUGACAGAACUAGAGACUUUCAGUCUCCACCUGCAGAGAUACUAAUUCAGGACAUUUAUUAUCAGGUGAGAAUUGCUGGCAGACUGUACUGAUAGGAAGUUCAAGUGACCACCAUUAAACCUGCAAGCUGGCUCUGUUUUAAGUUCAUUUGCAUCCAAGAAAGGCAUGGCUGCUAAUUACUUCAGAAACCGGAUUGAUCCACUUUUGUUCAUUUUACUGAGAAGCAUUGAGCAAGUGUGGCUGGAAUUCAGGAUGGCCCGGUCCUAGAAGUCCACCUGCACACGAGCUCACCCCGGUGCAAGCCGGGCUCCAACCUAAUCCAUAGAGGCUCUACGUUGCUCUCAGUGAGCCACAUUACCGGGAUGGCAUGCAAGAAUCAAGGGGCCAGAGUCAAGAGCUGCGUUCCAUUGUAAUUCUCCAGCGGUCAUGGAUAGCUGGAGCCUUUGAAAUGGACACAGAUGAUUUAUGGGCAGAAAGCAUUGAGAGGAUAAAGUCUCAGGAAUGAAAAUCCAAGAGGAGAAAUAAAUGGGGAAUGCAUCCCAGGGAGAGGAAUAAUAUUUACUAGAGUAUGUUUGUUUCAAGGCGGAUUCCUAAGUUUUACUGCUUAGAGUGGUAAUCUUUGUGAGAAAUUUCAGGCCAGAAGAGAGGACUUGAGAAGCCAGUCUGGGAACUCCUUUAGGUCAGGGAUCAUGGUCUUAGCUCCGAGUCGCAAUGCUCUGUGCAGUGACUGGUACAUGACAGGUGCCAAAUUCAUGUACGCUGAGUUGAACUAUAGACCUUUCUACAGCGUCUCUGCUUCCAAGUAUAGGCUUCAGCUGGGCAGAGGGGCUGUGGGUCCUACCUGGGUGUCAUUCUUCAGUGCACCGAGGAUUCCUGACCGCAGCGUCUGGCUAAGGGGCUGAGACAGGAGCAGGACGGUGAAGAUGGCUGCGAAAGCAGGGGAUUUCUGCUCCAAGCGCUCCCUGUCCUCCAUCGAAUGAUGCAGGGUUCGCACGGAUCCUUUCUACUCUGCUCUCAAGGGAUGCGAAAGAUUCGGAUGUCAGCUUUCCUCCCGAAGGCUUUCAGAAUCAGACUGAUUGCUCUGUCUCGGCCAGUACCUUCCAGAUUCUCUCAGAGGGACCUCCUGAUGGUGUUCAGAUGGAAGGUGUCAGUGUUUCACAGCAAACGCAAUAUAUACUGUGCUCCCAUGGAACCAAGCCAUGUGCAGUUCUGAACCCCAUUACGUUCUUUGGGCCUCGAGGCAUGAUGUGUCAUUGUCUAGAAUACGCCUCCAGCCUCUUGCCAUGCCCUUUCUCCAUGUCAGCCUUGUCAACAUCUACUCAGUGUUCACGAUCCAGCUCAAGCAUCCCGGCUUCUGAGAACUUCUCCUCUCUCGCUUUCCCAUCCAUGCACCCGACCCAGUUAUUCACACCCUUUUCUGGGACAGCAGUUUCCACCUGACUCUACUCUGGGAUCUGUCAUAGGGCGCUGCAAUUUUCGCCGUCUACCCUUUUGUUCUUCACCCGUGUCUCGUUCAGGUUUAGGUUCCCUGCACCUUACGCUCAACUUCCUGUUAACUCCGUGGCUUUGGAGACAUUAGAUAACCUCCCCCCCACCCCCCGCCAGCUUCAGGGGCCCACUUCACAGAUUGUUAUGAGGGGUUAACACGAUACCUACAGCACAAUGCCUGGCACAGUGUAACUAUCUAAUAAACGGCGCUGUCUGUUGA